rnacentral:sRNA from 1 species
UGUGAAAAAAGGAGGAUUUAGGAAUAAAAUUUAUAAAGAAUAAAAUAUUUAUUGAUGUAGGUAAGAGAAUUAAAGAAAAAGAUAAAGAAAUAAAAAUAAAUAAACAAAAUUUUUAGGCACGCAAUUUUCAGACGUAUGCGAUUGUUACGGUUGAUUUUUUUUGAUAUUAAGAACAAAGAAAGUCGAUAUCGCCCACAUAAAGGUUUGAUCAAUUUUAUACACUAACACUUUCUUUUCCUUUUUAAAAUUCAAAUUCACGGUUCCAUAAGUUUUUGUUUCAGUCCGUUUUUAAACGUAGUAGUAAUCGUAGUUAUUGUAGUUUGGCAGUUUCAAUAGUGCAUAGAAUCAUAACUGUGAUCGUUUCUCACUUAUACUCUAUUCAACGAUAACAAAUAUAACGGGUUGUUGAAAACAAAUGUACUUUCUCUAAAUAAUAUACAUGUAAUUAU